rnacentral:rRNA from 1 species
ACCACUGUUGCUUCGGCGGACACGCCCCGGGCGCACCUCCUCACGGGGGCGUGCCCCGGAACCAGGCGCCCGCCGGGGGACCGAAACCUCUGUAUUUACCAUUUGAGUACUCUGAGUGUGAUUUACAAAAUCAAAAUUAAAACUUUCAACAACGGAUCUCUUGGCUCUAGCAUCGAUGAAGAACGCAGCGAAAUGCGAUAAGUAAUGCGAAUUGCAGAAUUCAGUGAAUCAUCGAAUCUUUGAACGCACAUUGCGCCCGCCAGUAUUCUGGCGGGCAUGCCUGUCUGAGCGUCGUUUCGACCCUCGCGCCCGGCUUCUGUCGGGGGCGGUGUUGGGGAUCGGCCACACCCUUCAGUGGGAGGCCGGCCCCUAAAUUCAGUGGCGACCACGCUGUAGCCUCCCCUGCGUAGUACUAAAACCACCUCGCAGGCGGAGAGCGGUGCGGCCCGCCGUAAAACCCCCCAACUUUUACAAGGUCGACCUCAGAUCAGGUAGGAAUACCCGCUGAACUUAAGCAUAUCAAUAAGCGGAGGAA